ACCAGAAUGGUCGAGAGGUUAAGGCGUUGGACUUAAGAUCCAAUGGACAAAUGUCCUCGUGGGUUCGAACCCCACUCCUGGUA
rnacentral:tRNA from 1 species